ensembl:snRNA U6 U6 spliceosomal RNA
GUGCUCGCUUUGGCAGCAUAUAUGCUAAAAUUGGAAUGAUAUGGAGAAGAUUAACAUGGCUCCUACACGAGGAUGACACGCAAAUUCAUGAAGCGUUCUAUAUUUGG